UGAGGCAGUUUCAGGGCCGGUGUUCCACCUCUUCCCAUUCCGAACAGAGCAGUUAAGUCCGGCACCGCCGAUGGUACUACGCACCAAAGUGGGAGAGUAGGCAGCUGCCAUUU
rnacentral:rRNA from 1 species